UACGUAGGGGGCUAGCGUUGUCCGGAAUCAUUAGGCGUAAAGCGUGUGUAGGCGGCUAGGUAAGUCGGAUGUGAAAGCCCCGGGCUCAACUCGGGAAGUGCACUCGAUACUGCUUAGCUCGAGUACCGGAGAGGUUGGUGGAAUUCUCGGUGUAGAGGUGAAAUUCGUAGAUAUCGAGAGGAACACCGGUGGCGAAGGCGGCCAACUGGACGAGUACUGACGCUGAGGCACGAAAGCCAGGGGAGCAAACGGG
rnacentral:rRNA from 1 species